GCCCCUGUAGUUAAAUGGAUAUAACUACGGACUUCUAAGCCGUUGUUCGAGGUUCGAUUCCUCGCGGGGGCA
rnacentral:tRNA from 1 species